AAUGUUUGGACAUAGUAUCAGAGCCAGAAAAGUUCCACCGAGCAUAGGCAUCCUCCCUUCGCAUGGCCGCCGUUGAGGACUUGCCCAAGGGCGACCAAGUCACACCCGACCUCUCUCUUUCUCCCUCUUCUUCUCAACCUCCCUCUACUAUACUGAAUGCCCAUCACUAUCUCUCUCUUAAACUUACUUCCAAGAAUUUUUUGUUCUGGAAAACACAAUUGGAACCCUUCCUUGAAAGCUAAAAUUUGCUUGGUUUCCUCGACGGUUCUAAACCUUGCCCCUCUGAUCCAAGCUCUACUGCUGCCUGUCGUCAACAAGAUGCCCUCAUUCACAGUCUUUUCAUUGCUUCUCUCUCUAAGGAAGUCUUCCCACUUGUCAUUGGGAAACCCAUAAGUCAGGCCAUAUGGGACACUCUAACCACCACCUAUGCCUCUACGUCCACCACACGUGUUCUCUCCCUUAAUAUGGCUCUUCAGGACCUUGUGCACAAACCCGAGGAAUCUGUAUCCUCCUUCCUUCAGUGAGCCAAAAGCCUCUCUGAUGAACUCAGUGCUGUCGGCGAACCUCUCAAAAUCGUUGAGUUCAAUAUCCAUAUUUUCAGAGCCCUCCGCUCUGACCUCCAUGAAGUUAUCUCUACUUUGCUGGGACGCUCUACCCCAGUGGAUUAUGAUGAUCUCCACGCCUUGCUUCUAAGUCACGAGUUCCUUGUCAAUUCCUCCUCUUAGAAACUCACGAUCACCGACCCUCCAUCUGGUGACACCAAUCCCUCUGCCAAUCAGGUAAGCAAAACCACCAAGGAUAGACGUAGUCUGGCCAAUCUGUGACCUAGUCCCUUGAUUGUGGUUCCAAUCGGGGUCAUGGGGGAUGCAACCGCAAUGGCCGAGGUCGUGGGGGGCACUACUCUGCCCAGGGCCAAGGAUGCCUCUUCUGCACUAUCUGUCAUCGCACCAACCACGCUGUUGCCACUUGCUACUAACGAACACCUACCCCUACCCCAUUGGCCUAUCAUACCUAUCCCGUCUCCAUGCCUGCCUACCCUCAAUGGCUUACUAACCCCUACCCCCUUCUGCUUACCACACCCAGCCAACUCCCUAUCUUCCCUCACCACCGCCCUCUACUUGGUACCCAGACACUGGUGCUACCCACCAUGUAACCCCGGAUCUCCAAUCCCUCUCUACCUAUGAUACAUACUCUGGCUCGGAUCAGUUGCAGGUCGGUAAUGGAUCAGAAAACCAGGCGUACACUUCUUUUCAGUCCAAGUAAUGGUGGUCUCUACACCCUUCCCAUGUCGUCUUCAUCACCAUCUGUCAAUAUUGCUGAACGUACCACAUGUGACGGAUGGCAUCAGCGACUCGGUCAUCCCCACCAUCGGGUUCUUCAUCAGAUUCUCCAUUCUCACAAGCUUCCUUGUUCUUCUAAUAAAAUUAGUCAUCUUUGUACGACUUGCCAAUUAGGCAAAGUCAGUAGGCUUAGUUUAAAACAGACUUUCACUUGUAGUUCUUUUCCUUUGGAUUUACUGUUUACUGAUGUAUGGGGUCCUUCGCACUUUGUC